UACGUAAGUGGCAAGCGUUAUCCGGAUUUAUUGGGCAUAAAGAGUACGAAGGUGGUUUCUUAAGUCAGAUGUUAAAAGCUACUGCUUAACAGUAGUUCGCAUUUGAAACUGAGGAACUAGAGGUCAGUAGAGGAAAGCGGAACUCAUAGUGUAGCGGUGAAAUGCGUAGAUAUUAUGAGGAACACCAGUGGCGAAGGCGGCUUUCUGGACUGAUUCUGACACUAAAGUACGAAAGCGUGGGUAGCAAACGGG
rnacentral:rRNA from 1 species